AGAGUGAACGCUGGCGGUAGGCCUAACACAUGCAAGUCGAACGGCAGCACAGUGGUAGCAAUACCAUGGGUGGCGAGUGGCGGACGGGUGAGGAAUACAUCGGAAUCUACCUUUUUCGUGGGGGAUAACGUAGGGAAACUUACGCUAAUACCGCAUACGCCCUUCGGGGGAAAGCCGGGGAUCGCAAGACCUGGCGCGGAUAGAUGAGCCGAUGUCGGAUUAGCUAGUUGGUGAGGUAAUGGCUCACCAAGGCGACGAUCCGUAGCUGGUCUGAGAGGAUGAUCAGCCACACUGGGACUGAGACACGGCCCAGACUCCUACGGGAGGCAGCAGUGGGGAAUAUUGGACAAUGGGCGCAAGCCUGAUCCAGCCAUGCCGCGUGUGUGAAGAAGGCCUUCGGUUGUAAGCACUUUUGUACGGUAAGAAAGCGAAUACGGUUAAUACCGGUUAGUC
rnacentral:rRNA from 1 species